GAGAGAAAGUGAAACAUACUGAGCAAGAGGCAGAAAAGCAGAAGGGAGAAGACGUAAAAACACUGUAAAAGUUCCAGGAAAAACAAAAAUACAUGGGCCUCUUGACGUGAUUAUCCUCAGGAAGAGCACACUGUGAAAACGCUCUUGCUUUACGGAGAACUCAACGUGCGAAGAGUCAACAUUUUAUAUUCUCUCUGUCCUUGUUGCAAGUAUAUUUUCCACAGUCACGUGCAUCCUCCUUAGCAACAGGCUCACUUCAUGACGUGAAACCCACCUUUCUCUCGGUAAUAAUUUAAUUCGGGAAUUCAGCAUGCACUGCACUACAGCCACAUGUGAACGUGAGCACAAGGGAACCGUGCCAACUUCGAGGUGACCAUCUUGAACUCUGCCCAACAGAGGAGCUCCUUGCUGAGUUGCACCAAUAUAACCCAUCCAAUGUCUCUACUUCGGC
rnacentral:lncRNA from 1 species